rnacentral:rRNA from 1 species
CCUACGGGUGGCAGCAGUGGGGAAUAUUGCACAAUGGGGGAAACCCUGAUCCAGCGACGCCGCGUGAGUGAAGAAGUAUUUCGUUAUGUAAAGCUCUAUCAGCAGGGAAGAAAAUGACGGUACCUGACUAAGAAGCCCCGGCUAACUACGUGCCAGCAGCCGCGGUAAUACGUAGGGGGCAAGCGUUAUCCGGAUUUACUGGGUGUAAAGGGAGCGUAGACGGCAGUGCAAGUCUGGAGUGAAAGGCAGGGGCCCAACCCCGGGACUGCUCUGGAAACUGUGCGGCUGGAGUGCAGGGGAGGUAAGUGGAAUUCCUGGUGUAGCGGUGAAAUGCGUAGAUAUUAGGAGGAACACCGGUGGCGAAGGCGGCUUACUGGACUGUAACUGACGUUGAGGCUCGAAGGCGUGGGGAGCAAACAGGAUUAGAUACCCUUGUAGUC